CCUACGGGAUGCAGCAGUGAGGAAUAUUGGUCAAUGGACGAGAGUCUGAACCAGCCAAGUAGCGUGAAGGAUGACUGCCCUAUGGGUUGUAAACUUCUUUUAUCUGGGAAUAAAAUGUUCCACGUGUGGGAUUUUGUAUGUACCAUAUGAAUAAGGAUCGGCUAACUCCGUGCCAGCAGCCGCGGUAAUACGGAGGAUCCGAGCGUUAACCGGAUUUAUUGGGUUUAAAGGGAGCGUAGGUGGAUUGUUAAGUCAGUUGUGAAAGUUUGCGGCUCAACCGUAAAAUUGCAGUUGAAACUGGCAGUCUUGAGUACAGUAGAGGUGUGCGGAAUUCGUGGUGUAGCGGUGAAAUGCUUAGAUAUCACGAAGAACUCCGAUUGCGAAGGCAGUUCACUGGACUGCAACUGACACUGAGGCUCGAAAGUGUGGGUAUCAAACAGGAUUAGAUACCCGAGUAGUC
rnacentral:rRNA from 1 species